rnacentral:rRNA from 1 species
GACGAACGCUGGCGGCGUGCUUAACACAUGCAAGUCGAACGGAAAGGCCCUGCUUGCAGGGUACUCGAGUGGCGAACGGGUGAGUAACACGUGGGUGAUCUGCCCUGCACUUCGGGAUAAGCCUGGGAAACUGGGUCUAAUACCGGAUAGGAGCCAUUUUUAGUGUGAUGGUUGGAAAGUUUUUUCGGUGUAGGAUGAGCUCGCGGCCUAUCAGCUUGUUGGUGGGGUAAUGGCCUACCAAGGCGGCGACGGGUAGCCGGCCUGAGAGGGUGGACGGCCACAUUGGGACUGAGAUACGGCCCAGACUCCGACGGGAGGCAGCAGUGCGGAAUAUUGCACAAGGGGCGCAAGCCUGAUGCAGCGACGCCGCGGGGGGGAUGACGGUCUUCGGGUUGUAAACUCCUUUCGCUAGGGACGAAGCUUUUUGUGACGGUACCUAGAUAAGAAGCACCGGCUAACUACGUG